AUCGAACGCUGGCGGCAUGCCUAACACAUGCAAGUCGAACGAAUGGCGGACUUGUGAGUGAGUUCUGGGAACCUGCCUAAUCGACCGGGAUGACUACUGUAAACGGUAGCUAAUGGCGCUUACCAUGCGAUCUGCCAUGGUGGGAUUAGCUAGUAGGUGUGGUAAAGGCUCAUCAAGGCGACGAUCCCUAGCUGGUCUGCGAGGAUGACCAGCAACACUGGAACUGAGACACGGCCCAGACUCCUACGGGAGGCAGCAGUGGGGAAUAUUGCACAAUGGGCGAAAGCCUGAUGCAGCAAUGCCGCGUGUAUGAAGAAGGCCUUCGGGUUGUAAAGUACUUUCAGCGGGGAGGCGUUACCCGCAGAAGAAGCAACGGCUAACUCCGUGCCAGCAGCCGCGGUAAUUC
rnacentral:rRNA from 1 species